rnacentral:rRNA from 1 species
UACGUAGGUGGCAAGCGUUGUCCGGAUUUACUGGGCGUAAAGGGCGCGUAGGCGCCUUCUAAGUCGAACGUGAAAUCCCCGGGCUCAACCCGGGAACUGCGUCCGAUACUGGAAGGCUUGAAUCCGGGAGAGGGAUGCGGAAUUCCAGGUGUAGCGGUGAAAUGCGUAGAUAUCUGGAGGAACACCGGUGGCGAAGGCGGCAUCCUGGACCGGUAUUGACGCUGAGGCGCGAAAGCUGAGGGGAGCGAACGAGG